rnacentral:rRNA from 1 species
CCAGACUCCUACGGGAGGCAGCAGUGGGGAAUAUUGGACAAUGGGGGCAACCCUGAUCCAGCAAUUCUGUGUGCACGAUGAAGGUCUUCGGAUUGUAAAGUGCUUUCAGCAGGGAAGAAAAAAAUGACGGUACCUGCAGAAGAAGCGACGGCUAAAUACGUGCCAGCAGCCGCGGUAAUACGUAUGUCGCGAGCGUUAUCCGGAAUUAUUGGGCAUAAAGGGCAUCUAGGCGGCCGGAUAAGUCUGGGGUGAAAACUUGCGGCUCAACCGCAAGCCUGCCCUGGAAACUAUGCGGCUAGAGUACUGGAGAGGUGGACGGAACUGCACGAGUAGAGGUGAAAUUCGUAGAUAUGUGCAGGAAUGCCGAUGAUGAAGAUAGUUCACUGGACGGUAACUGACGCUGAAGUGCGAAAGCUAGGGGAGCAAACAGGAUUAGAUACCCUGGUAGUCCUAGCUGUAAACGAUGAUUACUGGGUGUGGGCAUGAAGAGUGUCCGUGCCGAAGCUAAUGCGAUAAGUAAUCCGCCUGGGGAGUACGGCCGCAAGGCUGAAACUCAAAGGAAUUGACGGGGGCCCGCACAAG